UACGAAGGGGGCUAGCGUUGUUCGGAAUCACUGGGCGUAAAGGGCGCGUAGGCGGUUUGGUAAGUUAGAAGUGAAAUGCCGGGGCUUAACCUCGGAACUGCUUUUAAAACUGCCAGACUAGAGUUCGGGAGAGGAUAGUGGAAUUCCUAGUGUAGAGGUGAAAUUCGUAGAUAUUAGGAGGAACACCGGUGGCGAAGGCGGCUAUCUGGACCGAUACUGACGCUGAGGCGCGAAAGCGUGGGGAGCAAACAGG
rnacentral:rRNA from 1 species